AUCGGUAGACGCUACGGACUUAAAAUCCGUUGACUUUUAAAAUCGUGAGGGUUCAAGUCCCUCUAUCUCCCCCAA
rnacentral:tRNA from 1 species